AAGAGCUUGCUCUUAUGGGUGGCGAGCUGGCGGACGGGUGACGAAUACAUCGGAAUCUACCUUUUCGUGGGGGAUAACGUAUGGAAACUUACGCUAAUACCGCAUACGACCUUCGGGUGAAAGCAGGGGACCUUCGGGCCUUGCGCGGAUAGAUGAGCCGAUGUCGGAUUAGCUAGUUGGCGGGGUAAAGGCCCACCAAGGCGACGAUCCGUAGCUGGUCUGAGAGGAUGAUCAGCCACACUGGAACUGAGACACGGCUCCAGACUCCUACGGGAGGCAGCAGUGGGGAAUAUUGGACAAUGGGCGCAAGCCUGAUCCAGCCAUACCGCGUGGGUGAAGAAGGCCUUCGGGUUGUAAAGCCCUUUUGUUGGGAAAGAAAAGCAGUCGGCUAAUACCCGGUUGUUCUGACGGUACCCAAAGAAUAAGCACCGGCUAACUUCGUGCCAGCAGCCGCGGUAAUACGAAGGGUGCAAGCGUUACUCGGAAUUACUGGGCGUAAAGCGUGCGUAGGUGGUUGUUUAAGUCUGUUGUGAAAGCCCUGGGCUCAACCUGGGAAUUGCAGUGGAUACUGGGCGACUAGAGUGUGGUAGAGGGUAGUGGAAUUCCCGGUGUAGCAGUGAAAUGCGUAGAGAUCGGGAGGAACAUCCAUGGCGAAGGCAGCUACCUGG
rnacentral:rRNA from 1 species